rnacentral:rRNA from 1 species
AUUGAACGCUGGCGGCAGGCCUAACACAUGCAAGUCGAGCGGAUGACGGGAGCUUGCUCCUUGAUUCAGCGGCGGACGGGUGAGUAAUGCCUAGGAAUCUGCCUGGUAGUGGGGGACAACGUUUCGAAAGGAACGCUAAUACCGCAUACGUCCUACGGGAGAAAGCAGGGGACCUUCGGGCCUUGCGCUAUCAGAUGAGCCUAGGUCGGAUUAGCUAGUUGGUGGGGUAAUGGCUCACCAAGGCGACGAUCCGUAACUGGUCUGAGAGGAUGAUCAGUCACACUGGAACUGAGACACGGUCCAGACUCCUACGGGAGGCAGCAGUGGGGAAUAUUGGACAAUGGGCGAAAGCCUGAUCCAGCCAUGCCGCGUGUGUGAAGAAGGUCUUCGGAUUGUAAAGCACUUUAAGUUGGGAGGAAGGGCAGUAAGUUAAUACCUUGCUGUUUUGACGUUACCGACAGAAUAAGCACCGGCUAACUCUGUGCCAGCAGCCGCCGCAG